rnacentral:sRNA from 1 species
GUAGAAUCAAUCAACGGCACCUA